CCCGGUGGUUUUUCCGGUGAGGCAACACCUGUUCCCAUUCCGAACACAGAAGUUAAGCUCACUAGGGCCAAUGGUACUCAUCGCUAAUUCGCGGUUGGAAGAGUAGGUCGCUGCCGGGG
rnacentral:rRNA from 1 species